UACGUAGGCAGCGAGCGUUGUUCGGAGUUACUGGGCGUAAAGGGUGUGUAGGCGGUUCUUUUAAGUUUGGUGUGAAAUCUCCCGGCUCAACUGGGAGGGUGCGCCGAAUACUGAGGGACUAGAGUGCGGGAGAGGAAAGUGGAAUUCCUGGUGUAGCGGUGAAAUGCGUAGAUAUCAGGAGGAACACCGGUGGUGUAGACGGCUUUCUGGAACCGUAACUGACGCUGAGACACGAAAGCGUGGGUAGCAAACAGG
rnacentral:rRNA from 1 species